GAUGAACGCUGGCGGCGUGCCUAAUACAUGCGAGUCGAGCGAACGGACGAGAAGCUUGCUUUUCUGAUGUUAGCGGCGGACGGGUGAGUAACACGUGGAUAACCUACCUAUAAGACUGGGAUAACUUCGGGAAACCGGAGCUAAUACCGGAUAAUAUUUUGAACCGCAUGGUUCAAAAGUGAAAGACGGUCUUGCUGUCACUUAUAGAUGGAUCCGCGCUGCAUUAGCUAGUUGGUAAGGUAACGGCUUACCAAGGCAACGAUGCAUAGCCGACCUGAGAGGGUGAUCGGCCACACUGGAACUGAGACACGGUCCAGACACCUACGGGAGGCAGCAGUAGGGAAUCUUCCGCAAUGGGCGAAAGCCUGACGGAGCAACGCCGCGUGAGUGAUGAAGGUCUUCGGAUCGUAAAGCUCUGUUAUUAGGGAAGAACAUAUGUGUAAGUAACUGUGCACAUCCUGACGGUACCUAAUCAGAAAGCCACGGCUAACUACGUG
rnacentral:rRNA from 1 species